UGUCAUGGUAGAAGUUUUGUUCAGGUU
rnacentral:sRNA from 1 species